AGCGAACGCUGGCGGCAGGCCUAACACAUGCAAGUCGAACGGAUCCUUCGGGAUUAGUGGCGGACGGGUGAGUAACACGUUGGAACGUGCCCUUUGGUUCGGAACAACUCAGGGAAACUUGAGCUAAUACCGGAUGUGCCCUUCGGGGGAAAGAUUUAUCGCCAUUGGAGCGGCCCGCGUCUGAUUAGCUAGUUGGUGAGGUAAAGGCUCACCAAGGCGACGAUCAGUAGCUGGUCUGAGAGGAUGAUCAGCCACAUUUGGACUGUGACACGGCCCAAACUCCUACGAGAGGCAGUAGUGGGGAAUCUUGCGCAAUGGGCGAAAGCCUGACGAAGCCAUGCCGCGUGAAUGAUGACGGUCUUAGGAUUGUAAAAUUCUUUCACCGGGGACGAUAAUGAUGGUACCCGGAGAAGAAGCCCCGGCUAACUUCGUGCCAGCCGCCGCAGUAAAAC
rnacentral:rRNA from 1 species